rnacentral:lncRNA from 1 species
AGAGCUAAAGCUCGGUUCACUGUAUCCUCUGUCAAUCGGACACAGAGUAGGAUGUGCAUCCCGAUAUAUAAAGAGAUUAAAUGAAGAACUGAAAGUUUCAUGGAAAUAGUUUGAAGAUCAUGCACACCUAUUUAUAGCCCCAUCUUCAUCCAGCAGUCCUGGGUAUCAUUUGGUUCAUGAAUACCACUUAGUCAACAUCUUUCCCUCAAGCAACCCAGCAUUGUCUCCAAAACUGAAAACAAGAAGAAAUACACAGACAAAAUAGCUAGGACUUCC